CGAGGCUGGCCCCGGCCCCGCGCUCCAGCCCGCAGCAGAUGCCUGCCCGGCCCUCCCUCGCCGGCCAAACCCACUCGGAGCCCGCGGCUGCGGGAGCGCCCUGCGCAACCGUUGGACGCGGGCGGCGGGGACACGGCCGGCGCUUCCCGCAGGCGUCCGCCCUGUCCGCGCCCCCCUCAGCCGCGGGGCUGCCUCUCCCCCAGCCUUUGCGGCCCCAGCCGGGCACUCCGGAAAGUUGCUAGGGCCGAGGAGGCGGGAGGGGAGGAAGGGAGGAGAGAGGCGGAGGCGUGGACCAGGCGGGCAGCAGCCGAGCCCGCCGGGGAGGUGAGCUGAGGACAGGGGAGCCGCCGCCGCCCGCAGCGCGGCUCGGCUGCCGGGGAGGAGAGUGCGGGGGCGGAGGUGGCAGGGGGGACAGAAGGUGUCAGCUCCUGCAGCUAUUCCCUUUUCUUGCAAACGCGCGCUCCUGACAUCCACAAUCCCUUCCUCCCCACCUGCCAAGCGCCGCGGCGAUCAGACCGGGGGCAUCCCUCCUACAGACCCCCGUCCCCUAGGGCAAGGGAAUAAGCGGCCACCGAGGACCCUGAGGUCUCACCAGAGCUGCCGUCGCCACUCGCCCCUUGAGUCGGCUCGGUGCGCGCUGGCGGCAGCCGGAGUAGCCCUAGAGGCGGCGGCAGUUCCCGCCCGGGUAGAGGCGCCACGGCGCACGCCAGCCCCGGGAAAAGCCCGCGCCGCCUCUGCGCCCAGCUGUGCCCUGGCCCUCGCGCCGCCCCCGAUCCCGCGGCGGCCGGUGCGCGUCUAGUCGGUGACCCCGGCGUAGGCCUGGUGCCAGGAGGGCGCGCGGGAGGCCGCGUGGGUGCAGGUCCGCGCGAGCAGACGCCCGGGGGACCGGCCUCGCCCCCCACCAGCCUUGACCCUCCGCCCCGCCGCCCGCGCCCGGCCCGGCUCUUACCGCGGGGUCAGCCGGGAGGCGGCGGCCGCAGCGCUCGGGCUGCCGCUUGUCCGCUCUGGGAUCGGCGCCAGCCCGGCCGCCGGUGCACACUCGCGCCGGUCCCGGCCCGGCAGUCCGAUCGGCGGUGACCGCUGGUGCGCGGCGGGCGAGGGUCCCGGCAGGUCCCGCCGCCGCGACUGGGGCGCUGCGCCGCCGUCGCUGCAGACGGUUAUGGUAAUGAGCGGCUCUGUCUAGCGAGGAGCGUGUGAAACCCGUCAAUCCUGUUUGCCAUUUCCCCGUGGAUUUCCGAGGAGAGGUUCUGCAGGAUGCCCCCAGGUGAUCCUCCGACUGUGAAAAACCAAACCUCUCGCUGCCUGGCUCCCUAGGAACCAAGGAGAGGCACAGACUGAAAAUCGGGGAGAAGAGGAACAAGAUCAAGGACGAGGAUUAGCAUCUGCAAAUUGAACUCCAUCUAAUUUGCAUGUUUAUUUCUUAGAAUUGUAAUUAAAUUUGUGUAAUAAAUGUUUUCCAUUUCAUUUGUACACUUAAAAUUUGGGUGACUGACAUGCAGUUAAGUGAAUUUCUUUUUUUUUUUAAGCAAAUGUAGUUUAUUGAAUAAAUC
ensembl:lncRNA